GUCACAGCAAUGAAAAAAAAGAAAAGGGUCAAAAAGCAAUGAUCUCAAGAAUGUUUCUUUCCUUGGUUAAUAAUUGACAUCCAUCCUCGUCUCUCCCAAUCCCCUCAAUCUCUAAGCUGCUUCUCCAUUCUCCAGUAUUCCGGAACCUGGAUUACCUUCAAAUCUCCGAAAAAAUUUGCAGCAAAAUGGUCAUAUUCCCAAGUUUUUAGAUGAUUUCCAUUCAGUAAGCACCAUGGAGGGAAUCAACAACACCGAUUCCAGAUCGAAGUUGAAUGCAAACAACAUAUGAGGUGCUAAACAUUGAAGAAUGUUGCUUUGGUUUGAUUUUGUUACUUGUGCAUGUUUGAUCCAAGGUUACCAACAUUGUUUUAUUUCUAAAUCCAGAGUCCUUGGUUUGAUGAAAACCAAACACCAUUAAUAUUACAGACGGCUUUUCCAUCAUCCCUGUGCCAUUGGAUGGUCAUGCGAAUCUGGUGGAUCUCCAUCUGUAAACCAGAAAAAAAUCAAUUCAUAGUUGCAAUAAAGAAGCACACAAUCCAAAAGUUCAACAUAGAAGAAGACCAUUGUUCAUGAUUUUACAAGUUAAGAGACUAGCUACACUCUGAGCAAAGUGUUUGUCAGCAUUUUUCCCUGAUAUUGUAGGUUUAUGUUUGUAAUGGCCUUCCAUAUUAUCAUCAGAGCACAGAAUUGAACGGUAAAUAAAAGAUUAUUCUGAGA